AGAAAAACGAUGAAGGGGACAGUAGUUCUUUCAACAGCUUAUUUCAGCGAGUCGAGGGCGGUGGAAGCUCGGCAUAAGCGAAGGAAUGAAAAUCACCCCGGAGUUCCGUGCCGAAUGAGUAGUAGGACGCGGCGCGUCAUUCCCGUUACGAAUGUCGAGUGGACUAUGGAAACAUAGUCAAUAAGGGUGGUACCGCGAGACCUUCUCGUCCCUUUU
rfam:Anoxybacillus sp. BCO1 LR68_contig000019, whole genome shotgun sequence.